rnacentral:sRNA from 1 species
GACGAUCCAACCUCCAUCUCCCAUGG